rnacentral:tRNA from 1 species
GGGUAGGGCUCAGUGGUAGAGCGCACGCUUGGCAUGCAUGACAUACUGGGUUCAAUCCCCAAUACCUCCA